rnacentral:SRP_RNA from 1 species
GCCAGGUAUGGUGCCACAUGCCUGUAGUCCCAGCUACUAGGGAGGCUAAGGUGGAAGGAUCGCUUGAGCCCAGAAGUUCAGGGCCGCAGUGAGCUAUGAUGGUGCCACUGCAUCCCAGCCUGGGCAACAGAGCAAUACUCCAUCUUGA